rnacentral:rRNA from 1 species
GAUGAACGCUGGCGGCGUGCCUAAUACAUGCAAGUCGAGCGAAGGGACGAGAAGCUUGCUGCUCUGAUGUUAGCGGCGGACGGGUGAGUAACACGUGGAUAACCUACCUAUAUGACUGAGAUAAGUUCGGGAAACCGGAGCUAAUACCGGAUGAUAUUUUGAACCGGAUGGUUCAGAAGUGAAAGACGGUCUUUCUGUCACUUAUAGAUGGAUCCGCGCUGCAUUAGCUAGUUGGUAAGGUAACGGCUUACCAAGGCAACGAUGCAUAGCCGAGCUGAGAGGGUGAUCGGCCACACUGGAACUGAGACACGGUCCAGACUCCUACGGGAGGCAGCAGUAGGGAAUCUUCCGCAAUGGGCGAAAGCCUGACGGAGCAACGCCGCGUGAGUGAUGAAGGUCUUCGGAUCGUAAAACUCUGUUAUUAGGGAAGAACAUAUGUGUAAGUAACUGUGCACAUCUUGACGGUACCUAAUCAGAAAGCCACGGCUAACUACGUG